ACCUGCCCUAUGAUUAAAAAUUAAAUGGCUGCGGUAUUUUGACCGUGCAAAGGUAGCAUAAUCAUUAGUUUUUUAAUUGGGAACUGGUAUGAAAGGUCGAACGAAAAAGAGACUGUCUCAAUUUAAUUUAAAUUAGAAUUUUAUUUUUAAGUAAAAAAGCUUAAAUAUAUUUAAAAGACGAGAAGACCCUAUAGAGUUUUAUAUUUAGAUAAUUAUAUAGGAAAUUAAAGAAUUAUUUUUUUUUUAUAGUUAUUAUAAUAUUUGGUUGGGGCGAUUAAAAAAUUUAAUAAACUUUUUUUAAAUUAUAACAUUGAUUUAUGAAUAAGUGAUCCAUAUUUAAUGAUUAAAAGAUU
rnacentral:rRNA from 1 species